rnacentral:rRNA from 1 species
UUUUAUGCGAGAGUUUGAUCCUGGCUCAGGAUGAACGCUGGCGGCGUGCUUAACACAUGCAAGUCGAGCGAAGCACUUCGUUUUGAAUCUUCGGAGGAAGAACGGAAUGACUGAGCGGCGGACGGGUGAGUAACGCGUGGGCAACCUGC